UACGGGGGGGGCAAGCGUUGUUCGGAAUUACUGGGCGUAAAGCGCACGUAGGCGGAUCCUUAAGUCGGUGGUGAAAUCCUGAAGCUCAACUUCAGAACUGCCUUCGAUACUGGGGACCUUGAGUUCGGGAGAGGUGAGUGGAACUGCGAGUGUAGAGGUGAAAUUCGUAGAUAUUCGCAAGAACACCAGUGGCGAAGGCGGCUCACUGGCCCGAUACUGACGCUGAGGUGCGAAAGCGUGGGGAGCAAACAGG
rnacentral:rRNA from 1 species